AAGACGGCGCCCAAUCCGGGACGAGCGCAGGUAGGUGGCUAACCAAUCAGAGAAAAGGAGGGUUUCAGCACACAACAGAGAGCAGAACAGCCAAUCAGAAGGUGAGGCCGGCUCGCGGUGUGGGCAGGGCGGGCCAAUCACCCGCUAGCUUGGGGGGCGUGUUGAACUUUGGUGGGAGCUUUGGUUUGGUGGGGAUGUGUACCGAGUGAAGGCUUCCUCGAUACCGGGAGCCAGCCCGGGGUCGACAGGACUUGAGCGCCUGUCAGAGCGCAUGCUCGAAGCGGGGAGGCAACCUCGGCACUAUGGAGUCUGAACUCACCUACUUUUAGUUAUGAGUUAACUGAGGCCAGAGACCCAGAGGGGACUUAUUUUCCUUUGCCCUUUACUGACUGGCAACGGAGCAAGUCACACAAAACUGACAACCUUUCCAUUAAAGGUUGGGGGUGGGAUGGGGGAAGGAACUCCCGGGUCGGGGCUCACAGUCGGCCCCCUGAAUGCUUUAUGGAAGCUUAACUGAUGUCGAGUGGAAGCGUAAUUGAAAUUAAAAGACUCCGUUCCUCAUUUCAUUCAAUUAACACAGAUUUAUUGAUUCAAUCCCAUUUAUGCUGCUUAAUGAGGCAUCUUGGGAGCAUUUUAAACAAGAGGCGGGUUUUCCACCUAUACCUCAGUUUUCCCAAAACAUUCCUCUCAUUGUCCUACAGGCUUUGCAUAAAUAGCCACACCUUACCACCCACCUCUCCCUCUCCCACCCUCACUCUCUCUUGGGCUAGAUUGCAGUGCUUACAGUCAGGUAAAGUGCCCGGCUCCUCCUGUCGUUGAGCCUUUUCACAUGCUGUUCCAGUCUGUCUCAGGUGUCUGUCCUCACUUAGAGGUUUCCAUGGCCAGGAGAGGGGCCUCCACUGGGCUCCCACAGUUGCAUCCCAGUUGCAUCCCCUCUCCUACCCCAGCACUGACCACACUGGACUGUAAUUGGCUCCUUGUCUGUCUCUCAACAGUAAACAAUGGUUCUCCGAAUUCAUGCAGCGCCGAGAUCAGCUUGUAGAAAAUGGGCCCUGGAUUGAUCCAGUAGAUCUUGGGUUGCAGCCUUGGAGUCUACAUUCUUAUGUCCCCUGGGGCUCUGAUAUAAGCGGUUGCAGCCACAACUGGAGAAGACCUGGGCAGCAUGAAGACAGGGCCUGUUAUGUAUUGGAGACUGGCCCAGGCCGAUGCUAGAACAAGUGCCGGAUAAAUAACCUAAGUGUUUAUGAGAAGUGAGAACACAGCAGAGGAUUCCGCUGACUCUGUGAGCCAGCCAGGCAGCAGGACCCCCAGAUCGAGAACCAGAGCCCCAGGAGCUCCUGACACCCCUUCUCAUCACCCCAGCGUGACCACCAUCCCAUCUGCUAGCACCAUACAUUAGGUUAGUCUGAUCUCUGUACUUUCUAUAAGCCGAAUGCUACAGUACGUGCUUUGGGGGCGUGGCUCCUUUCCCGGCAUUGUGUUUGUGAGAUCCAUGCUGCGGCCUCUAGUUGUAAUUCGUCUACUCUCCCUGUGUAGUGUUCCACGGUGUGAACACACCAUGUUUAUUGGUUUCUUUUCCAUUCGACUAGACUUUUUUUUUUUGGCUGCACCACACGGCCUGUGGGAUCUUCCCCGACCAGGGGUCAAACCCGUGCCCCCUGCAUCGGGAGUGCGGAGUCUUAACCACUGCGCCACCAGGGAAGUCCUUCCAUUCAACUCUGCUGGACUUCGGGGUGUUUCCAGGUCUGGGGUGUUAGGAAUGGUGCUGCUAGGAACAGCCUUGUGCAGAUCUUUGGUGUACAAAUGGAUGCUUUUCCGAUGGCGAUGUGCCUAGGAGCCAGUGCGGGGUCCCAUGAGAUGGGAGAGAUGACAGCACAGACCUGCCAUGUGGAUGAGGAGCUGGGCUGUGCAGGCAUGAAAGCUGUGAGGGGAACCAUGGGAAGCUGAAGGAGCUACCUGCCUCCUCCCUGAGCUGAGGGGUGGACCAGUGAUGCCCCUGGUAUCUCUCUGAGCAUCCUGGGAGGUGCUCCAUCCUUAGUCACUCGUCUUAGCUCCACUACAGCCUGGGAGGCAGUUCUUAAUGCACCCAGUUUAUAGCUGAGGACAGUAAGGCUCUGAGCGUCCCACCAUUUGCCAAGUCAACUGGCUAGUGUGUGACAGAGCCACGAUUUGAAUCCAGGUCUGCCUGAUGGGCAGGCCCAGGUUCUGAACCACCCUGCAUCCCAUUAACCAAACUGCAGGCUGCCUCCUCCCACUGCCCAGAGGAGUCCUCAGACAAGCCGCAGCUGUCCCGGGCAGGGCAGGCCUUUCACUUUGGCCUCUCCUCUGGAAGGGAAUUCACAGACAGUGCGGCCCCCGGAUUAGAGGCACAAUGUCUUACUCUGUGCACCACACCCCAGCCACCCUGGCAUGCGCUCAAAGUCCCUAGGAAAGAACUCUUCCCCUCUCUGGGCCUGUUUCCCCGAAAUGUGUCAGCUGCCGCCCUCUAGAUUAGAGGUUUGUUCAUGCACUUCCGGGACUAUUUGAGCUCCUAGGCGGUGCCAGACCACAUCCGUCUGGGCAUCAAGGAUGAAGGGAGAAAGAUGGAGAGAAGCAAGGGUGCUGCCAUUGAGAAACUGUCCUUCCCACAGAGGAUGUGGGACUCCUGGAUCCUAAAGAUGCCAGUAAGAAAGACAAAUGGUCUCAAAGUAGAAGUGACAGUUUUGGCUUCAAAACCUCUAAGAGGAGCCAUUCACUGUCUGUGUCUUAGCAUAGAGGCUUCUAGAAGUCAGGGCCUAGCGUUCCAAACACCAUGGAGCCAAGUCCUCGAGACACAUUGUCUGGCUCAGUCUCCCAAGCCACAAGCUCCCCUGGUUUGUGGCAUGUGCUGAUUUCCAUGGUGUAAAUACUCUCUCCUGUGGCCACUUGCCAGCCACCAUCGUGAUGGUACUGAACAAGGAGUUAGGAAGAGAUGCACAGUCCGCUCUCGCUAGCAGAUGGGGUGCAAGCCGGCUCCGGAGCCUCCACCGCUGCCUGUGCAGCACCUGGCGCAGUGCUUGGCACACAGUAGGCGCACAGGAAAUACUUGGUGGACAGAUGAUCCUUCUUCACCUGUCCUGUCCCAUUUGCGUACACGCCCUGGGAGCCAUUUAUAUUGUAAUCGAAACCACUGUUUACUGAGCACUUGAUGUGAACCACAGAUUGGGCCAAAGACGACACUACGACACUACGAGAUCUUACCCUCCACACCCCCCUCAGGCUGCACGAUAAUCAGUCUCACAGGCGAUGCAGCAGAAGCCCUACGGGUUCAGGAGAUACGAGUGUCCACGCUGGGGCUGCUGUGUAUUCGCUGUAUGCACUGGGGUGGUCAUCCUCCACUCUCAGUUUCCCCUUUCAUCAACAAGGGGGCUGGCAUCAGUUACCUACUGCUGUGUAACAAGCCAGUCCCAAACCUAGUGCCUUCAGACCAUCACCAUUUUAUUCAAGAUCUGCAACUUGGCUGGCUCAAUUCUGCUGGGUCACUCAUGCAGCUGGUGGCUCGACUGGGCCUGUGUGGUCCAAGGGGCUUCCCUCAAAUCUGACCCUUAGCUGGGGCUGCUGGCCCGGGUGCCACAUUCUCCUUCACGUGGCCUCCGGCAGAAGUGCCAAGGUUUUCAUGGCCGCAAAUACUCUCCAAGAGGGCGACCCCAGUGCACCAGAGCUCGCCAAGCCUCUGCUUGCAUCACGUCACUCUUGUUCCACUGGCCAAAGCAGGUCACGUGGCCGAGGUCAGAGCUGCCAUGGGAGAGGCCUAUACAAGGACAUGGAUUCCAAGAGGCACGAUUCGUGGGGGCCGUGACUGUAACAGUCCACUGGCCGCCACAGAAAUAAGUGGGCCAGGAUUCCCCUGAGGGCCUUCCCAGACCUGGUGUCUGGUAUUCUGAGCUUCCUGGGACUUGUUAUGCUAGAAAGGAAGUUCUCCAAGACUGAUUCAGGGUGUGUGUGGGGGGGAUGGCAAAAGGACCCAGGAGCCAGCUCAAAGGGGCUCCCACUGGGAAAAUUUGUGACCAUCUGAACAUCAGAAAACUGAUUGUAACUGAUUGUAAAUAUCAAAUAAAUAAUAACCCACGAGUCCACAGUGGUAUUCAAAACGGAAGAGGUAAAACUCUUUGCGGAAUGCUAUUCGGCGACAGAGAAAUAAAAUACUGAUACACGCCAUAGACGGGAUGAAUCUCAAAACAGCAUUCUAUGUGUAGAAGCCAAGCACAAAAGAUCACGUGUGUGUGACCCCACUCACAGGAAAUGUCUGGAAAAGGCAAGUCAUGAGAGAGAGUAAAUCGGUGGCGGCCUGGGGGCUGGGGGACUCCCUGCAGUUGAGCAUAAGGGGUCUUUUGGGGUGAUGGAAAUACUCUAAAACAGGGGUCCCCAACCCUUGGGCGAUGGACCGGUAGCGGUCCGUGGCCUGUUAGGAACCGGGCUGCACAGCGGGGUGUGAGCGGCGGGCGAGUGAGUGACGCUUCAUCUGUCUUUACAGCUGCUCCCCGUCGCUCGCAGUACCGCCUGAGCUCCAUCGCCUGUCAGAUCAGUGGUGGAAUUAGAUUCUCAUAGGAGCACGAACCCUACCGUGAACUGCGCAUGCGAGGGAUCUAUGUUGCGCACUCCUUACGAGAAUCUAAUGCCUGAUGAUCUGAGGUGGAGCUGAGGCGGUGAUGGCAGCACUGGGGAGCGGCUGCAAAUACAGAUGAGCAGAGAGGUUUCACUGCACAGAGACUGUAAUAAAUCAGUUGCUUGCAGACUCAUAUCAAAACCCUAUCAGUGGGCUUCCCUGGUGGCACAGUGGUUGAGAAUCCGCCUGCCAAUGCAGGGGACACGGGUUCGAGCCCUGGUCCGGGAAGAUCCCACAAGCCGCGAAGCAACUAAGCCCGUGCGCCACAACUACUGAGCCUGUGCUCUAGAGCCCACGAGCCACAACUACUGAAGCCCACGCGCCUAGAUCCCGUGCUCCGCAACAAGCGAAGCCACCGCAAUGAGAAGCCCACGCACCGCAACGAAGAGUAGCCCCUGCUCGCUACUACUAGAGAAACUUUUCUAUACAUUUAAAAAUUUCAAAAGCACAGAAAAUUUUUAAAACGUACAGUGGUCCCUGCUUAUCCAGUUUUGCUUUCUGAGACUGCACUUACCCUCAGUCAACCAUGGUACGAAAAUAUUACAUGGAAAAUUCCAGAAAUAAACAGUUCAUAAAUUUUAAAUUGCACACCGUUCUGAGUAGCAUGAUGAAAUCUCGUGCCAUCUCGAGCCAUCCUGCUCUGUCCCCUGGGAUGUGAAUCAUCCCUCUGUCCGGCGUACCCAUGCUGUAUACACUACCCGCCCUUUAAUAGCCAUCUGGGUUAUCAGAAUGACUAUCACAGCAUCACAGUGCUUGUGUGUGAGCAAUCCUUACUUUACUAAAUGGUCACCCAGCACAAGAGGAGCGAUGCUGGCAAUCCAGAUAUGACAGAGAGAAGCUGUCAGGUGCUUCCUUUAAGUGAAAGUUUUCAACUUAGGAAAGGAAAAAAAUCAUGUACUGAGGUUGCUGAGAUCUACAGUAAGAACAAAUCUUUUAUCCAUGAAAUUAUGAAGAAGGAAAAAGAAAUUUGUGCUAGUUUUGCUGUUGCACCUCAAGCUGCAAGUUACAGCCAGUGUGUGAUGUGAUUAGUUGAGAUGGAAAAGGCAUUAAAUUUGUACAAUAUUUUGAGACAGACCAUAUUCACGUAACUAUUAUUACAGCAUAUUGUUAUAAUUGUUCAAUUAUUCUUGUCAUUGAUCUCUCACUGUGCCUGAUUUAUAGAAAUUAAACUUUAGGAAUUCCCUGGC